CUCGGGUUACCGAAUUCAGACAAACUCCGAAUGCCAAUUAAUUUAACUUGGGAGUCAGAACAUGGGUGAUAAGGUCCGUGUUCGAAAGGGAAACAGCCCAGACCACCAGCUAAGGUCCCAAAAUAUAUGUUAAGUGGAAAAGGAUGUGGCGUUGCCCAGACAACUAGGAUGUUGGCUUAGAAGCAGCCAUCAUUUAAAGAGUGCGUAAUAGCUCACUAGUCGAGUGACACUGCGCCGAAAAUGUACCGGGGCUAAACAUAUUACCGAAGCUGUGGAUUGUCCUUUGGACAAUGGUAGGAGAGCGUUCUAAGGGCGUUGAAGCAUGAUCGUAAGGACAUGUGGAGCGCUUAGAAGUGAGAAUGCCGGUGUGAGUAGCGAAAGACGGGUGAGAAUCCCGUCCACCGAUUGACUAAGGUUUCCAGAGGAAGGCUCGUCCGCUCUGGGUUAGUCGGGUCCUAAGCUGAGGCCGACAGGCGUAGGC
rnacentral:rRNA from 1 species